rnacentral:misc_RNA from 1 species
UCCGAGUUGACCCCGGCAGUCUCCUGCGAGUCCCCGCCAUUACGUGCUGGCAACAUGGGACAGGGGUUGCGCUCGUUACGGGACUUAACCCAACAUUUCACAACACGAGCUGACGACAGCCAUGCAGCACCUGUCACUCGGCUCCCGAAGGCACUCCGCCAUCUCUGGCAGAUUCCGAGGAUGUCAAGGGUAGGUAAGGUUCUUCGCGUUGCAUCGAAUUAAACCACAUGCUCCACCGCUUGUGCGGGCCCCCGUCAAUUCAUUUGAGUUUUAACCUUGCGGCCGUACUCUCCGGGCGGUCUACUUAGUGCGUUAGCUGCGCCACCAAAACCUCAAGGGUCCCGACGGCUAGUAGACAUCGUUUACAGCGUGGACUAC